GCCUUUGUGGCGCAAUCGGCUAGCGCGUUCGGCUGUUAACCGAAAGGUUGGAGGUUCGAGCCCUCCCAGAGGCG
rfam:Ixodes scapularis strain Wikel colony gcontig_1108379280360, whole genome shotgun sequence.